rnacentral:rRNA from 1 species
UACACUCCUGCGGGAGGCAGCAGUGGGGAAUUUUGGACAAUGGGCGAAAGCCUGAUCCAGCCAUGCCGCGUGCAGGAUGAAGGCCUUCGGGUUGUAAACUGCUUUUGUACGGAACGAAACGGCCUUUUCUAAUAAAGAGGGCUAAUGACGGUACCGUAAGAAUAAGCACCGGCUAACUACGUGCCAGCAGCCGCGGUAAUACGUAGGGUGCAAGCGUUAAUCGGAAUUACUGGGCGUAAAGCGUGCGCAGGCGGUUAUGUAAGACAGUUGUGAAAUCCCCGGGCUCAACCUGGGAACUGCAUCUGUGACUGCAUAGCUAGAGUACGGUAGAGGGGGAUGGAAUUCCGCGUGUAGCAGUGAAAUGCGUAGAUAUGCGGAGGAACACCGAUGGCGAAGGCAAUCCCCUGGACCUGUACUGACGCUCAUGCACGAAAGCGUGGGGAGCAAACAGGAUUAGAAACCCCGGUAGUCCCAUGA